rnacentral:rRNA from 1 species
UACCCUGAACGCUUAAGUCGUGGAUCGAUGAAAAACGCAUCUAAUUGCACAUCAACGUGUGAACUGCAGGAAACAUGAACAGCGACAUUUUAAACGCAUAUUGAUCCACAGAUACAAUUUCUGUAUCAUAUCUGACAGAGGGUCA